AGGUCGUACAGGCAUACUGAUGCCGACCUUCGAGGCGGCAGGACCCAGGAAGCCGGUGGAAAUCCGGCGCGGUCCCGCCACUGUGACCGGCCGCGACGCGCGCCCGGGAGUCAGGAACUGACCUGCCGCCUCCUCCACAUG
rnacentral:ncRNA from 17 species